rnacentral:rRNA from 1 species
GAUGAACGCUAGCGGCAGGCUUAAUACAUGCAAGUCGAGGGACAGCACAGGUAGCAAUACUGGGUGGUAACCGGCAAACGGGUGCGGAACACGUACACAACCUUCCUUUAAGUGGGGGAUAGCCCAGAGAAAUUUGGAUUAAUACCCCGUAAUAUAGUUGAAUGGCAUCAUUUGAUUAUUAUAGCUACGGCGCUUAAUGAUGGGUGUGCGGCUGAUUAGAUAGUUGGCGGGGUAACGGCCCACCAAGUCUACGAUCAGUAGCUGAUGUGAGAGCAUGAUCGGCCACACGGGCACUGGGACACGGGCCCGACUCCUACGGGAGGCAGCAGUAAGGAAUAUUGGUCGAUGGACGAAAGUCUGAACCAGCCAUGCCGCGUGAAGGAUUAAAGUCCUCUGGAUUGUAAACUUCUUUUAUUUGGGACGAAAAAGGGCCUUUCUAGGUCAACUGACGGUACCAGAUGAAUAAGCACCGGCUAACUCCGUGCCAGCCGCCGCCGUAA